rnacentral:lncRNA from 1 species
AAUAUGAUUUAAAAUUUUAAUUUGGGGUUUAGUUGCAUAAUCAAUUGGCAAUAUUUUUUGAAUUCAAAAAAGAAUAUAUUGAAGUUGCUCAAUACAUUUAAAGUACAUUCAUAAAACAUUCUUGAUGUAAGGUCGUCAGGACCUUGAUGUUUUAAAGCACAUUCAUAGAACACCCUUGAUGGAACUAUGUAUUAAAAGAAGUGGAGUUUGUGGUAUCAAUUUCACUUUUCACCUCCAAAAGCAUUAAUGUAGGAGACACUUGUCCUGAGAAUAGGACUAGCCACUAAUUCAUCUCUCCACCGUUGGCCAUAUAUUUUAGAAAACCUUCCAUAUUUCCUCCCACAGGGCCACCUGCUAUGGUCAUUAGCAACAGUUUCCCUAAUCAACUCUCUAUCCUCAAUUUUGAAAAAUACAUCAACAAAUUUAUCCUUAUUUGACUCUCUAUUUUAAUCCAUAUAUAAAAUUUUACUCUCCAGUGUGAGGAAAUGAAAAGACCGCUCUCUAUAUAUACAAAAUAACAUUUCACACCCUCAUUUAAAUGGACAACUCGUCAAUCAUACACAUCUUUGACAUUUUUUUUACUACAUUUUCAAAUUAUAAACUUAAUAUUGAAUUUUAAAAAAAAUUAAUUUCAAACGUAUUCAAAUUUAAAAUUGAUAUAAAUUUAUUUAAUUUAUGUCAAUAUAAUUAUAAAUAUUAUAAAAGUACUAUUAAUUAUAAAUUUUAUUAUUUUCAAAAUUUAAAUGAAUCAUAUUAAAUUUUAAUUUAAAAAUAUCACAAAUUAACUUUUUAAAUUUUAAUAUUGAUCUUAUGUACAUUUGCAACUACAAUCUAUUCAAUACUUACUCCAUAAAUUACUUAAAAUUUAAAAUAAAAUAAAAAUUAUUUUACAGUGGGAUAUAAUUGAUAAAUAAUCUCUCUUUUAAUUAUAAAUUAUAAGAUUAUUAUUAAUUUAAUGUUUUGACUGUUGAAACUUUUAAAUUUUAAAUUUCAUUAUUUAAAGAAUCAAUAUAAGGAACAUGUUGGGUACAUAGUGAAAAAAUUGAAUCCCUAUUUUGCAGAAUGACAUAAUAACACUGCAAAGUAAGAAUACAAAUAAAGAAACUGUUGUAAAUGCUCUAAGAAGAAUUGUUUAGCCAGUAAAGGCUAUAUGCUUCAUGUCCAUAGCAAUUUGGUAAAUGUUGAUAGUAUGGUAGUUAGAAACUCUCAAUGCCAUUAUAACGAGAUGGUUCACCAAUAUCCAAAUUUCCAAAAUAUUUGCAUAACAAUAUAUUUGUAGUUUUUAGAUCCACUUUAUAGAUUACCCAUUAGUUAGUUAUAGCUCCACGCAAUGGACUAUAUGAUCAGAGAGGUAAGACAAGGGUCUUUAUGGCAGAUAUUUGCGCACAGACCUUACCUCACCUAUAGUAUUCUUAUGCCUAACUCUUUCAAAAGGAUCUUCAUUCUCAUAAACAUCAAAAACGUACCUAGCUCAAGCUCUAUCACAAUAGGUUAUAUCUACCACAGGAUUCUCCUGCAGUCUAUCACUACCCAAAAAUGUGAUGCAACCUCCAUAAAAAUAACACCCAUCCAUGUCAUUAGCAAUUGAAAAACUAUUAUCACUUACAUCCGGAACCAUUAACCAAUAAAUUUCAUUUCUGAUAUUCAGAGGCAAAUACCAAAACCGCACCACUCCCUGUUUAAGUUUUUUGCACCAAAACUGCACCGGCGAGAACAACGGUUCGGGUAAACACCGGCCAGUUCAAUGCGGUUCAACCAGUUUCGGAUUAAGUUGUGUUUAAAUUGUCAUCCCUUGAGGAUGGCAACAUGCAGAAUAAACUACAUGGUGGCUGAAUACUGUCGUAUUUCCCAACUACAUAUAAGACACUGCAGUUCGGGCUCGAGGAAAGAUAACCUAUUGAUAACCACUAAUGCAAAAUUUUGUGAAUCAUUUUACUGUUAGUUGGACAAUGGAAUCCUUAUACUGUUUACCAAGCCAAAUGACCUCAAAGAAAAUUAAUAAAAAAAAAUCAAUUACAAAAAUGUAAAACUCAGACACAAACAAUAAAUUAAUAUGCAGCACUUCCCUGGCCCCCUAAUUUGUUACCAAAUUUGAACAACACUGAUCCCAUAAAACGACCUUCCUUAAGAAAGGGUAGAUUCUGUUUUUUCAACUUAAAAUUUGACUUGUAAUAUGUUUUAAAUUUAAGAACAUCAAACUUUGAGAGCAGUAGAAUUUAGCUGCCAUUUAGGGGGCAUUUAGGGAGGGGGCUAAACUUAAUUUCUAUCCAAAACCCCUUCACUUUCCGGGUUUUACCACUUUUCCCAAAAAAAUAUUCAACUUCUCAAACAAUUAGUAAUACCCAUCUUAAAACUAAUAUAUUGCUCCAAAAUUUAGUCUCUUGAGGCUUUAAAAAAGGAACCCACCUGAUAUGAAUGGAAUGAGCAAAAGAUUUUAUUCCUUCAAUAAGAAAUAAAGCUCUAAUUCCCAACUUCCACCGUCUAUAGACGGCAUCAAAUAAAAUAAGCAUAUUCAAGUUCAUGAUACACGAAGGGAAAGUAACAUCACAUAAAGUAGAGGAACCAGCAGACCAACAGAACCAGCAGACCAGCAGCCACGACGAGCAACCACCGAAAAAAGAGGGAUUUUUAAAUAACAAACCCUAGAUUUUCAAAUGCAUGAAAAAUAAUUUACAAACCCAAUUAAGUUAUGGAGCUUUACCUUCCGAUCCGUUUGACUCUGCUUCGCGGAGACCUUCCGAUGAGCUCUUCCGUCUGCUACUUUAUCUUGUGAGAGAGGGAAGAAAGAAGGUGGAGAGAGAAAGUAGUAUCAGUGAUCUGAGCUCUGGUUUUAGACUAAAGAAUGAAACACGCGUGUUUUUUCUCCAUCUUGACCCGUACGCUCAACCCGCGUGGUUUUUUACCCAAUUCGUCAUUAGUCCGUCAGUUUAGUUCGCUGGAGAAGGAUGUUGUAUAAAUAUAUAGAGAGAGGCGAUCAUUUAGAGAGAGGAGAGAGAUCUAGAGAGUGGUGGCGGCAAUGCAGGGAGAGAUUGGCGGCGAAAAUGGGAAGCAGAACUCUCUCCGAUGUCGUCCGUCGUAUGUUUCAGCGUCGAUAUUCCGCCACCACCGUUAGCCGAAGUAGAAGAAGAAACGACACCGUUAAACAGGAUAAAAAAGAAGGAUCAGAAUUUCACAUUUCUGGUCUAAAGCUCAUCCAAGUUCCUGAAAGAACAAUUUUCAAACUCGUCUCCACCGACACUCAUAAAUUGGUCCGAAAGUCAAUUCUCUCUCCUCUGUAUAAACUGUUCGGUGGAGAUAAGAAGAUAAGGCUCGCGUUUUUAGACGACGUGACCUCAUCAUUUUUUCUAUCAUUUUUUUAUUUCUUAAACUAUAUAUACACAUAUUUAUAUAUAAUGACUUAAUUCCUGUAUCAUUCAAUUCAAUCUUAAACUAUGUUAACUCUCAUUAUUAUCUAGCUGUAAUCACUUAAUUAGACUGAGUAUGCCCCCCAUUAUUUAGAUAGAUAUUUGACUUGAUCUGAGAUAUGUUACACUAUAUAGAGAAUAUAGAAUAUAGAACAUAGAUAGAACAUAGACCAUAAACCAGAACAUCGAAUAUAGAAUAUAUAGAUGUGUAUGUGCAUAUGUAUUCAAACUUAGAUUUUGAUUGGCUGGUUGCUGUUCUUCUUGCUUUGAUCUCUGAAAGCGUUUGGGGAGGACUAACCUCAAACGGUUUCGUUUUCCCUGCAAAUUGUUUUCAAAGAGCAAGAAGAUAUCUUUCUUAAUUUUGUUUGGAUUGAACGUUCAAGUUCUUAAUGGGUGUGCAAGUUUUUCAUUGUUUUAGCCUAAUUUCAUCAUAGUUACUCAUCACAGAUCAUCUAAAUUGUGUACAAACUUUCCCACUGCUCAGUUUUAGUUUUAACCAAGUAUUAGCAUACUGUUAGUACAUUUGUUAGCCUAGCUUCCUUGUGUACUCAUUUACUCCAUUAAUCCUUGCUAAGCCAAGUGCUAGUCAGGUUUAAACUCCAUUGAAACUCGAGCCCACAAAUUGUUCUCGUGUAAGGAUCAAUUCACACCACCAAAAAACACUCUAGCUCAUUUACUAAGAAUAUCAAGUAGUGUCACUACUGGAUAAAGUUUGCAAUUCUAAUUCUCAAUAAUUCUAGGAAUUCCUUCUACACAUACAAAUAGUAGUGAUGGCUUGGCAAAAAAAAAAUUAAUGAAAAUAAGAGAUUAAUCAGAAAGCCAAAUCGGAUUAAUGAAAAUAAAAGAUUAAUGAAAAUAAGAGAUUCCUUCUAUACAUACCUAGUCCAGGUUCCCAAAAAAAAUUAAUGAAAGCCAAAUCGGAACCAAGGAAGAGAUUCAGAAUGACCAAAAAUAAGAGACGCGUCAUUAAAAAAUAUUUUCAAAUAGCAAUUAACAAAAUUUCUGUUGCUAUAUACUCUCGAGGAAAAUCAAGUCAGAUUUACUUAUAAAAAAAUCAAAUCAAAUCAUAUUUAUGAAGUGUUCAAUUCAAAACUCAAAAUUAAGAAAACAACAGACAUAUAGAAUAUAACAUGAAUAAAUCGAUCUAUGUAAUACAGUUAGGAUGCAUGGGAUCGAUAAUUGAAAGAGAGAUAGAAGACGAACUUGCUUACUCUACUUUUGAGGGGCAAAAAUUAGGGCAAGCCGUCGCGACGGAUUUGGGGCAAAAAUUAGGGCAAUCCAUGGUUUUGAGAUUUGGGGCAAGUGAACGCCUAAGAUCGUGAGAAGCGAGGGAAAGAGAGAUCGGGAGAGCGAGAGAGGAGAGCUUGGGGUGAUAAAUCGUGAGAAGCUGAAGAUCGGAAGAGCGAGAGAGGAGAGCUUGGGGUGAGCGAGAUAGAUUUCAGAAGGAAAUGACUGAACAGGAGCCCAACCCCAAGUUCGUGUAAAUGUGAGGAGAGAAAAAAAGAAAUACUGUAGGUUUUUAUAGGU